rnacentral:tRNA from 1 species
GGCCCGCUAGCUCAACCGGAUAGAGCAGCAGACUUCUAAUCUACAGGUUCCACGUUCAAAUCGUGGGCGGGUCACCA